rnacentral:rRNA from 1 species
CGCGAUCACUCCUACGGGGAGGCAGCAGUAGGGAAUCUUCCACAAUGGGCGCAAGCCUGAUGGAGCAACACCGCGUGAGUGAAGAAGGGUUUCGGCUCGUAAAGCUCUGUUGUUUAAAGAAGAACACGUAUGAGAGUAACUGUUCAUACGUUGACGGUAUUUAACCAGAAAGUCACGGCUAACUACGUGCCAGCAGCCGCGGUAAUACGUAGGUGGCAAGCGUUAUCCGGAUUUAUUGGGCGUAAAGAGAGUGCAGGCGGUUUUCUAAGUCUGAUGUGAAAGCCUUCGGCUUAACCGGAGAAGUGCAUCGGAAACUGGAUAACUUGAGUGCAGAAGAGGGUAGUGGAACUCCAUGUGUAGCGGUGGAAUGCGUAGAUAUAUGGAAGAACACCAGUGGCGAAGGCGGCUACCUGGUCUGCAACUGACGCUGAGACUCGAAAGCAUGGGUAGCGAACAGGAUUAGAUACCCUGGUAG